rnacentral:rRNA from 1 species
UACGUAGGGUGCGAGCGUUGUCCGGAAUUAUUGGGCGUAAAGGGCUCGUAGGCGGUCUGUCACGUCGGGAGUGAAAACUCGGGGCUUAACCCCGAGCCUGCUUCCGAUACGGGCAGACUAGAGGUAUGCAGGGGAGAACGGAAUUCCUGGUGUAGCGGUGAAAUGCGCAGAUAUCAGGAGGAACAUCGGUGGCGAAGGCGGUUCUCUGGGCAUUACCUGACGCUGAGGAGCGAAAGUGUGGGGAGCGAACAGG